GUGGAGAAGACCAAUGCGAUUUUUUACCGCGGACGUAUCUCCCAAUUCUGGCUAUGAAAAGACCAAUAAUCUUUGCAUCAGCAAGGAAAGACUAACAGGCUUACUGAAAUGGUACUCCACUGGGACAGGACAGGAGGGAGAAAAAUGUCUCGAGAUCCCUUCAGCUGGACAACAUCAAAGGAGAGGUGACAUUCAUCCAACAACAAGGUUCACAAAAUGCCCUAGUGCUCACUGGACAUGUCCCUGGAUUUAAACGUGAUGAUCUACAGCCCCUGCCUUCAGUUCACACUGCCACCAAGGUCAACCAAAGCUACAAAGAUGUUCUUCUUGGGACAGAGAAGAACUAUUGGACCAUCAAGCACCAACAAGAGUGGAGACUUGAAGAAAGCGACGCAUCUCUGAAUCUUACACUGACUCUGAGAGUGCCCAUAGACAGGUUGUGGGCGUGGAGAUGAACUUUUAAAUCUGUAAAUAUGUGGCAAGUACACAAGAGAAUACGUGAGUAAUGUGUGUGUGUGUGUGUGUGUGUGUGUGUGUGUGU